CCUACGGGAGGCAGCAGUGAGGAAUAUUGGUCAAUGGACGUAAGUCUGAACCAGCCAUCCCGCGUGCAGGAGGAAGGCGCUAUGCGUCGUAAACUGCUUUUCCAGGGGAAGAAAACCCGCUACGUGUAGCGGCUUGCCGGUACCCUGGGAAUAAGCAUCGGCUAACUCCGUGCCAGCAGCCGCGGUAAUACGGAGGAUGCGAGCGUUAUCCGGAUUUAUUGGGUUUAAAGGGUGCGUAGGCGGAUUAAUAAGUCAGUGGUGAAAACCUUCAGCUUAACUGGAGACUUGCCAUUGAUACUGUUAGUCUCGAGUACGGUCAAGGUAGGCGGAAUGUGUAAUGUAGCGGUGAAAUGCUUAGAUAUUACACAGAACACCGAUUGCGAAGGCAGCUUACUGGGCCAUUACUGACGCUGAGGCACGAAAGCGUGGGGAGCGAACAGGAUUAGAUACCCUGGUAGUCCACGCCGUAAACGAUGAUCACUCGCUGUUGGCGAUACACAGUCAGCGGCUAAGCGAAAGCAUUAAGUGAUCCACCUGGGGAGUACGGCCGCAAGGCUGAAACUCAAAGGAAUUGACGG
rnacentral:rRNA from 1 species